rnacentral:rRNA from 1 species
ACGCUCGACACCUACUGGAGGCAGCAGUGGGGAAUAUUGCACAAUGGAGGAAACUCUGAUGCAGCGAUGCCGCGUGAGGGAAGAAGGUUUUCGGAUUGUAAACCUCUGUCUUUGGGGACGAUAAUGACGGUACCCAAGGAGGAAGCUCCGGCUAACUACGUGCCAGCACGCCGGACGGUUAAUCUGAGGCGGGCGUGGACGAAGGC